CGAACGCUGGCGGCAGGCCUAACACAUGCAAGUCGAGCGGGCGUAGCAAUACGUCAGCGGCAGACGGGUGAGUAACGCGUGGGAACAUACCUUUUGGUUCGGAACAACACAGGGAAACUUGUGCUAAUACCGGAUAAGCCCUUACGGGGAAAGAUUUAUCGCCGAAAGAUUGGCCCGCGUCUGAUUAGCUUGUUGGUGAGGUAGUGGCUCACCAAGGCGACGAUCAGUAGCUGGUCUGAGAGGAUGAUCAGCCAUAUUGGGACUGAGACACGGCCCAAACUCCUACGGGAGGCAGCAGUGGGGAAUAUUGGACAAUGGGCGCAAGCCUGAUCCAGCCAUGCCGCGUGAGUGAUGAAGGCCCUAGGGUUGUAAAGCUCUUUUGUGCGGGAAGAUAAUGACGGUACCGCAAGAAUAAGCCCCGGCUAACUUCGUGCCAGCAGCCGCGGUAAUACGAAGGGGGCUAGCGUUGCUCGGAAUCACUGGGCGUAAAGGGUGCGUAGGCGGGUCUUUAAGUCAGGGGUGAAAUCCUGGAGCUCAACUCCAGAACUGCCUUUGAUACUGAGGAUCUUGAGUUCGGGAGAGGUGAGUGGAACUGCGAGUGUAGAGGUGAAAUUCGUAGAUAUUCGCAAGAACACCAGUGGCGAAGGCGGCUCACUGGCCCGAUACUGACGCUGAGGCACGAAAGCGUGGGGAGCAAACAGGAUUAGAUACC
rnacentral:rRNA from 1 species